UGGGUAAUUCAAGAAAAAUUUGUAAGGAGAUGCACUUCCUUGUUUGGGCAAUUCAAGCAGCAUUUGUGAGGAGACGCACUUCCUUGUUUGGGCAAUUCAAGUAGCUUUUGUGAGGAGAUACACUUCCAUGUUUUGUUAAUUCAAGAAACAUUUGUAAGGAGAUGCACUUCCUUGUUUGGGUAAUUCAAGCAACAUUGGUAAGGAGAUGCACUUCCUUAUUUUGGUAA
rnacentral:lncRNA from 1 species